rnacentral:rRNA from 1 species
UACGAAGGGGGCUAGCGUUGCUCGGCAUUACUGGGCGUAAAGCGCACGUCGGCGGCUUUCUAAGUCGGGGGUGAAAUCCUGGAGCUCAACUCCAGAACUGCCUUCGAUACUGGAAAGCUCGAGUCCGGGAGAGGUGAGUGGAACUGCGAGUGUAGAGGUGAAAUUCGUAGAUAUUCGCAAGAACACCAGUGGCGAAGGCGGCUCACUGGCCCGGUACUGACGCUGAGGUGCGAAAGCGUGGGGAGCAAACAGG